rnacentral:rRNA from 1 species
UACGUAGGGGGCAAGCGUUAUCCCGAAUUACUGGGUGUAAAGGGUGAGUAGGCGGCAUGGUAAGCCAGAUGUGAAAGCCUUGGGCUUAACCCGAGGAUUGCAUUUGGAACUAUCAAGCUAGAGUACAGGAGAGGAAAGCGGAAUUCCUAGUGUAGCGGUGAAAUGCGUAGAUAUUAGGAAGAACACCAGUGGCGAAGGCGGCUUUCUGGACUGAAACUGACGCUGAGGCACGAAAGCGUGGGGAGCGAACAGG